AGUCUUCACUUAAGGAUCUCACCCAGCAAACACUUUUGGGGAAAUGUGCUGUUUCAUAACAAGCAAGAAGGGAGAUGUUGUUAUUUGAACAAAGAACAUCUUUGUUUUGCUAGGGAAAAAAUAUUAAGGUACUUCUGGGAGGAGAAGAAAAAAAAUUAAAUGGCUGAAAAACAAGGUUUUCUCAAAGGCAUUUCUGAAAAUGUCUUCAAAAUGUAUGAUUUUUGUGCCAAGAAGGAUGCUGAAGCUUUCCAAAAAAAAAAAAAAGGCAAUGCAACAUUGAACUAUUGAACUAUUGCUGUAUCAGCUUCACAGCUUGUUAAAGUAAACCUUAAUGAACUGAGGAGUAAUGCAGUCUGCCUUCCCAAACAAACUACAUGGGUAUUUACAGCAAAUGAACUAUUUAUUUUGGUUUUCUUUUAAAGGAAUCAGAACUGUUGUUCUGACCAAUAUGCUCAUUUAGUACAUUCACAUUUAGGGCAUAUCUUUGCCAGAUGUCAUUAGGGGUGGAUAUGGCACAGCAUCUACUGCAGAAGGUAAACCUAUGGAAAUCGUUAGAACUCGAACUGAAAUUGGAUUAGACCAAGCUAUUGGAAUGAUAAAGGAGUUGAAUUUUUUCUUCAUUAGCCCAGAUGAGAGUUCAGAUACUUGUUAUUCAGUUAUUCAAUAGCAGGCUUUUCAGGCUACAUCAAGCCGUGCAUAACAUUCUGUGUAUUUCACUCUUCACUGUCACUUUAAUUAUGUCAAACUAUUAUACUUUCUAAUUUGUUUGCAUCAAUCUAAUUCACAAUUAAAUUCAUGCUUAUUAUCCAAAUAUUGAUAUUAUGAAAUAGCUCUUCCUCUCCUUAUAUGUCACCUGUCUCAUUUGAUGUUAGCAGUCAUUCCCCUCUGAGUUUUGCUAAUAAUUACAGCUCACUACACUUUAUUAGUAAGCUUCACACCAAAUUGUCUCUGUUCCUAUGUAUAUACUGUGCUUCCUCAAGAAAAGUUAGAGUGUCCUGGGCUUUCUGACCGUGUUUUCCAUUACCUUGUUUUGUUUUGAAACCCUUGUUGUGUUUUGAAAGCCUAAGCAUGCCAAGUCAUUUACAUGCAAACUACCUGAGCCCACACUAUUUGCCCAGCUUCCCCUUGACAAACCUACUUUUGACACUAACUUUAUCCUUUUUAAAUGUCUUAGGACAGUGAUUUUGCUUUUGUGUCUGUUGCAUACCAGUGUGGAGUAUUAAAUUAUUCUAAUGAAGUAGCAGUAUUGUGCUUGAACUUGUACAAACAUGCAAGACUUGAAAAUUUACAUUAGAGAAAUUUAAAAUAUAAGCUAAGAAUGGGGGUUAUAACAAAAUGAUUGAUAAUAAAAUACAAAGCUGUGCUUUUUCUUUCCUAUGUUUGCAAUAAAACCUUGUGUUCAGAUGUAUUCAAAAAGUGCAUUUUUGUGACUUCCUGUAGAGAAUGGUAAUGAGUUGGCAUUUUACACUAAGCCUAUUUAAUAGUGUCCUGGAGGUAUGUGACAUUAUUGAAAGCUUUGUGAUGCACUGAGUUGCAACCACAGGUUAUCUUCUCAUUAUAAUAAGAAGCCUUGGCUCACUAGAAGUAUCCCAUUUGAUAAUACAGUGUAUAUCUUGGCAGCAUUACAGUCCCCACCUUUUUGUAAUGCUGUAGCAUAGGGGAAAAAUAUCAUACCAAGGCCCUAGACACAGACAACGCUAAUCAUAAUUUCAUGAGGUCUACACCAUCUGUCAUAUCCUGAAACUUUAUGGAUUUAGUCUUGUAUAUUUCUGCUACAAUAGAAGUUAGACUUGUUCAUUAUGAUUAGACCCUAAUAAACAAGUUCCUAACUUCAGAUGUGUACACUUUUUGUGAAUCUUUCUCCUCAUCUGAAAAAAUAAUGAAGUCCUCUAACAUAGAGCUGAGGACAGUGGAAAGGCAGACAACUUAGGCACAGACCUUAAAUACAUUUUUACCCUUGGAAUAGUACUGUUUAUUGCAAAGAAGUAUGAGGUGAAGUUACUUCAUUGAGUCUCCCUCUUUAUGCUAAUUCUCCUAAAAUUAAAAAUGUCUCUUCCUACAAAUGGGUCACUCAACACUGCCAAGUUUUUUUGGGGGUAAUCAGCUAUUCAGUCUGAGAGAUUUCUUAAAGAAUGACAAAUCUUGGCCAACGUUCAUUUUCAUUUUGCAACAAUAACAACAACAAAAAGUUUCUGUCAUGAUAUUCUAGGAGAGUUUGAUAUCUGUAGGAUAACUAUAAACUGAAAAUAUUUACAGAGAUAAGGAAACAUUCAGUUUUCACAUAUCUCAUAUCUGCAGGAUAGCAGAGCCAGUGAGUUGAAAUCAUUCAUUUUUCAUUACAAUGAAGCUUCUCUGCAUUUGCUGUGUAGCCAGUGAAUAUGUUUUGUACCUCAGCUGGAACCUGAGUUGAGGCCUAGGUCUUUUCUCCCUUAAGUUACAGGAGGUAGAAGCAUGGUUUAUACCUACCGUUGUAAUUGAGCAGACUUCCCCAGAUAACCCAAGAAUACUGUUGGCUUCUUUCAGAUGCAGCUGCAUGCAGCCCUUAGCCAAAUGGAUGGGUCAUCAUAAUGAGGGGCCUCUGAAAGGAGAGGAGAUGAUACAGAGAAAAGGAAGAGAACUGCUGAAGUGCCUCCCUCAGCAAAGCAGGCUGCUGUAGAACAUAACUGUUAAGUGCUGCUGGUUUUGCAUAGUCACAUUAAAAUCCCACAGAAAACACUCAAGAUCUAGAAAGUUAUUAUUAGUCAAGAUAUUUAUAUACUCUUCCCCUUAAGAUAUAUUUAUAUAUAUCUUAUAUAUAUAUAUAUAUUUUAAAAGGUCAGAGAUUUUACAUGCAUUAAAAUAAUGAAUUCCAAAUAGAAUGUUGCAGUGACAAACAGUGAAAAAAAAUUUAAAAUAAUCAAUGUUCAGGUUGCUAAUGAUUUGUGGUUUUAAUUUUCAGUCAGUUGUCUGUUUUGGAUUUCUUUUUUUUUUUCCUGCAUAAAUCGUGAGUUUAUAGGAUGGCACAUCUUUCCAAAUAUAUUCCAUGCUACAUAAAUAAGGAAGACCAAUUCUCUGGGGAUCGACGUGACCUAUAACAUCAGGAAGAAAGACAAAAAUCUGUCUUUGCUGCUUCUUGGCCUUCCCCCUUCCUCUGAGGCUGCUGACUUUUAAACCAGAGGCUCCAGAGGACACUAACAACAGAGCUGUUCUGCUCCAUUGGGCCAAGGUUAGAAGAUGGGAUUCAACCUAUGUGCUUUUGCUCCAAGGAAAAGCAGAGGGGAUGGCUGAUAAAAGAUACAGAUUUGGCUCUGAGUGUUAGUGCAAGUGACCCAGUGAACUCAGCAGCACAGGAAGAUCCCAAUUCUAUUAUUGCUGGAAUGCCAGUGCUGGAACUCUGGAAAGCAAAAAAAGGUACUAGAAAACAGUGACAGAACUCAUACAUUAUUAGUUACGGGAUGUUUCUUCUCACAAGGCAAGUGCCAACAUGUAGAAAGAUGAACAAGAAAUGUCUUUUCUGAAUUGAUGCCUCAUAUGGAAGAUGAAUAUAUGUAAAUGCAAGUUUAACUGAAAAUGUCCAUUGCCUACAUAGAGAAGGAAGAACAUCACAGCAUCCUAGGAUCUUGGCCACUUCCACAGGACCAUUCAUACGAUGAACAGCUACAGUAUUGCAUAUUGGCUUGCUUCCUUGAGUCUACAGUGUUAUAAUUUCAUGGACUUCAAGAGAGCUCAAGAUUGUCCUGUUUCUUACCCCUCAUAUUUUUUUCAGUGGGUUCUCCUUUCAAAAUGAGCAAAAUCACUGUUAGGCUGUGUCCAUAUUAGAAAUUAUCGUGCAUUUAAGAGUUUGGCAGAAUAGUUUUACUGUCAAAUACCCUGGCAGCUGCUCCAGUCAUUAAGUUUAAACCAGUUCCCCAGAUAAAGUAAGCCAUGUUAAAGGAAAAGGGAAAGAUUUGGGCAAUGCAAAGAUUUCUAUGCUAUGUUCUUUGCCAAUGCAAUUUUGAUGGAAAAGAAUGCAAGCAUUUUUGUACUCUUAACUGACAUAGGUAUGCAAAUUGAAGCUAACAACUCUAAACAUACUUAGACUUGUGUGAGGUUAAAAGAGGAAAUAUCACAAUCCAACUGCUUCAAGAAGUAGAUUGAGGUGCUUUACAUGAGUUUUCUGAAAAUUGAAGCUGUAUCAAGUUACUUCCUUGUCUGCUGUAAAUAAUAAUAAUAAAAAGACUGCAGUAUUGCUUUUUCCCAAGGAAAACCUGUGAACAGAGAAAGCUAGAUAGAAUGUUUCAAUUGCACACUGAUCACUCUAAAAUACAGUUUCAGGUCAGCUGGAAUUCAUGAUGCAUUUGGCAAGCAAUUCAGUCAUGAAACUAAAUCUCUGAAAAUUUUUAAAAGAAAUAAAACUUUUCUGAUGUUUUUGAAAUACAGUAUUUUUAGUUAGCAUUAGCAACAACAUUUGAGAUGAAGUAUGUGGUUUUAACUUGAGCAAACUUAUUUUCUGGAAGCCACAGUAGUAUCCUUUUUCAGAAAAGAUGCUGUAUAUACACACACACACACACACACACACACAUAUAUAUAUUUAAACUGACAAAGAGCCUGAUUCUGCACAAUUCAUUAGCAUCUAACUCCAAAGCAAAUACAGAGUUUCAGAAAUUGUACUAAGGCUGAUCUUUAGGCUGGAAGGAUACAAUUCAAGCUUCGUUUAAAAAACAAAACUCAUUGAUUAUAUGAGACGCCUAAAAUGGUGUACAUCCUAGGAAUGUUUUAUGCAAUUCAAUUUUUAAUUGAGAAAAAUUAUGGAACUCAGCUUCUUUAACUCAUUGUGGACUCAGGAGUCCUAAAGUAUGUUUGAAACCAAGACUUUUAGACAUUAACAGGUAUAGACAGAAAUUUGAUCAGAAGUUAUAUCCAAUCAAUGUGAUAAUACACUGAAGAUUAUAUUGAGACAUAAAAUGUUGUUUGUUUGUUUUUUAAACAAAAUGAAAUGUAGCACAAAAUGAAGAGUCUAUGUCAUUUACCUUGCAGACAACUUGUUUUAUUGAAGUUGUGUGAUAUCUAGAUCAUGUAGACAAAAAUGCAUUCUUGCAGAGUAAAGGCCAAGUCUUAUCUCAGUUUAUAGGACAGAAAGUAUAUUAUGAAAUAUACAAUCAUAGUAAUAGUUUUUCAUGCUGUUUGUAACAAAAUUAAAAUAUUGUAAAUACUAGCAUAAAACCAGGAAUUUGUAAACUAGUAAAAUAUUGUUAGUCAAAACAAAAGCAUCAGAGAAACAGUGUGUAGUGGGUUUACGUGGCAAGGUUUGGGUAGCAGGGGGCCAUAGGGGUGGUUUCUGUGAGAAGGAUCUAGAAGC